rnacentral:lncRNA from 1 species
AUAAAUAGAAGUGUAUUAAACACAAUGGUCUGUAUCUUUUUAACCAGCUAUUGAGUCAUAAUGAGAACUGGAAAUGAGCAUGACCCAAAGGAAUUAUGGCAGCAUGUCGCGCACUGAGUGUUCUUUCUGACUGAUUUCCCUGGAAGAUUUAGCAUAUUCCAAGCAAUUCAGGUGAAAGCAAAACAAAACAAAACAAAACAAAACCUUACACUGCACUGUCUUCAUUAUAAGAAGUGUUUGGAGCAUCUGUGAAAUGGCUUAAUAAAGAGGCAAACUAGAGUUGCCUUCUGCCUGGCAGAAAUGGAGGAGAAAGAGAAAAGAGGAAGGCCAGCAAAAAUCACCCUGAUUUACUCCAUGUCAUUUAUGAAGUCAUUUUUUUAUGAUUGAGAAUAUAUCAGAUGUUCAAAGAUAUCAUAUCUGGUUUGAGCAU